rnacentral:piRNA from 1 species
UCCAUAUGACUGUUAGGGAAUCAUGCA